rnacentral:rRNA from 1 species
UUCCAGACUCCUACGGGAGGCAGCAGUGGGGAAUAUUGCACAAUGGGGGAAACCCUGGUGCAGCGACGCCGCGUGAGUGAAGAAGUAAUUCGUUAUGUAAAGCUCUAUCAGCAGGGAAGAAAAUGACGGUACCUGAGUAAGAAGCCCCGGCUAACUACGUGCCAGCAGCCGCGGUAAUACGUAGGGGGCAAGCGUUAUCCGGAUUUACUGGGUGUAAAGGGAGCGUAGACGGCAGUGCAAGUCUGGAGUGAAAGGCGGGGGCUCAACCCCCGGACUGCUCUGGAAACUGUACGGCUGGAGUGCAGGAGAGGUAAGUGGAAUUCCUAGUGUAGCGGUGAAAUGCGUAGAUAUUAGGAGGAACACCAGUGGCGAAGGCGGCCUGCUGGGCUUUUACUGACGCUGAGGCUCGAAAGUGUGGGGAGCAAACAGGAUUAGAUACCCGAGUA